GGCAAACACAGAGGAGGAGGAAACCCAGAAUGUAUGGGCUUAGUUGGGCUGGUUCUCAGAACAACCACCUCUUUUUUUUGUGGGUAUACUGGUACUGGAACCUGAAUUCAGGACCCCUCAUUCCCCUUUAGCUUUUUCACUGAAGGUAGCACUCUACCAUUUCAGCCACAGCUCCACAUCUGGAUUUUUGGUGGUUUAUUGGAGAUAAGUCUCAUGAACUUUUCUGUCCAGGCUGGCUUCAAACUGUACUCCUUAGAUCUCAGCCUAAGUGCCUAGGAUGUAAGUGUGAGCCACUAGCACUGGGCAACAAUUCUUGACACCUACAAAGUCUACACCUUAAUGGAGAACAUUGAACAUACAAUUACUAUUUUUCUGAGUAAGAUAUAAAACACAAGUUUAUUCCUCUGGAAGACUCAUGUUUGCUUAGGAAUUUAAUAGCAACUCAAGAAGAAAACACUUACCUAAAAGCAGUUAACUUGAAAUGGUAAUCAACUUAAUUUAAAAUUAAAGCACCACUGAUUCCUCAGAGCUUAUGGUAUAUAGUACACAGCAGAAGCGCAAUCCCCACUGGGUGAAUGAAUGCUGGGCUUUGAAAUUUCACCAAAAAAUUACACCUAAACUUAGGAAAAUC